rnacentral:rRNA from 1 species
CAGUCGCCGCGGGAAUACGUAGGCAGCAAGCGUUGUUCGGAGUUACUGGGCGUAAAGGGUGUGUAGGCGGUUGCCUAAGUUUGGUGUGAAAUCUCCCGGCUUAACCGGGAGGGUGCGCCGAAAACUGGGUGACUAGAGUAUGGGAUGGGUAAGUGGAAUUCCUGGUGUAGCGGUGAAAUGCGUAGAUAUCAGGAGGAACACCGGUGGUGUAGACGGCUUACUGGACCAUAACUGACGCUGAGGAGCGAAAGCGUGGGGAGCGAACAGGAUUAGAUACCCCUGUAGUCCCUGUCUCUUAUAC